UACGGGGGGGGCAAGCGUUGUUCGGAAUUACUGGGCGUAAAGGGCGCGUAGGCGGCCUGCUAAGUCGGAUGUGAAAUCCCUCGGCUCAACCGAGGAACUGCAUCCGAUACUGGCGGGCUUGAAUCCGGGAGAGGGAUGUGGAAUUCCAGGUGUAGCGGUGAAAUGCGUAGAUAUCUGGAGGAACACCGGUGGCGAAGGCGGCAUCCUGGACCAACACUGACGCUGAGUGAGCGAAAGCCAGGGGAGCAAACGGG
rnacentral:rRNA from 1 species